UUAUAUAUAUAUGUAUAUUUUCUCCUCUUUAAUUUAUUAACUCUGAAACCAAGACAGAGUUUUCAUUAAAUCUCUCACCACCUACCAAACAUUGAAUUGAAGCAAUAACUCAAGGAGAAGAAAAGAAAGAAAGAAAGAAGAAAAUGGAGGAGAUGACAUCAUCAUCAUCAUCAUCAUCAGAGGGAAAUAAGGUGAAUGAAAGUGGUGGAGAUAAUCAUAGUUUAUUUGUUACGAAUCCAUGCAAUUAUUUUCAACAAUUCAUACGGGCUGUACUCAAGUGUCUAGGUUUUGAAACUACUGCUAGUACCCAAGGCGGCUCUUCUUCUUCGUCGCCGCAGCAGCCUGCAGAACCGCCGCCCACUGACGGAGAUCCGCCGCCGAGUGAUCCAACAGCAGCGGUGAUGGCAGCAAGGAUUGGGAGAAGGCCACCUAAGCCGAUCAUUAGUGGGGGUCCUGGCCCCCAGACCAACGCAAACCCCAGCACUUAAUUAUUUAUCAAUUACCAUGUUUAAUUUACUUGUUUAGUUUUUGUUCCUUCAUGUAUGCUUUUGGUUAUUGUGUAGCCGUGUAGGGUUUCUCUGUCUCUCUCUCCAUCACAGAGUUCUAGAUUGGGGUUUGGAAGUUCAUAUUUGUUUUCUGUGUUUAUUCUCUUUAAUUACGCUCUCUCUCUUCUUUCUCUCUCUAAACAUAGAUCUAGAGUGGGGUUAAUUUGGAAGUUUAUACUUGUUUUCUCUGUUUGUUCUUUCAUUAUGCUCUCUCUCUCUCUCUCUCUCUCUCUCUCUCUCUCUCUCUCUCUCUCUCUCUCUCUCUCUCUCUCUCUCUCUCUCUCUCCCACACACACACACGUUCUAGACCGGGG
rnacentral:lncRNA from 1 species